UGGUCUUUACGAAUAAAAAACAUACCUACACUUGUUCCCUACGAGAUUUCAUCUUUUAAAAACGUUGCAUUACAUAUUGAAACUUGUUGUAAGAACUCCCUUUUAAUGUAGCAAAUGCAAGAAUCGUUCCAGCCUAAACGAGCAUCACUUUGUAAAAUUGCUCAUAAGCCAUGCUCAAGCUUUAGAAAUAGAGCUCAAACACUUGUAUGUUAGACGGACUCGAGCCUAGUCAAGCUCGGACUUGACUUAUUUACACCAUUUCAUUUGCCAACAAAUCUUUUAGCCCAUUAAUGAGUCCGGUAUCUCAAACACAACACUAGAACAUCCAGUCUGAUGAAGAUGAAUUCUAUUGUCCCUAUCAAGAAAAAUAUUCCUGCUUGUGAAAAUCUAAUCAUGCAAAGUUCCCAAAGUGUCCUCUUCCCUAAAAGCAAAAAUCACUAAAAGGUAGGUCUUGCCAUUCUACAGUUUUAGAAAACAAACAAAAAAAGUAAUGGUGUUUCGAGGCGUGGAUGAGAAGGAUUUGUAUGAAUCAAGGUUGAAUAAGAAAAACACAACUUAAAAUUGAAACUUUUCGACAAACCCAUAAUUAAAAUAGCUCAAACCCGUACUAUGAUACCAUCAUUUAUGUUCAUUACACUGAAAUUAUAUAUACAUAUUAAAAACCAAACGUUUUGAACAAUGUCUAUCUUGGGUGUUUGCCUAUUACUGGGUGAUUUUGCCAACUGAUAAAAACCUAAACCCCCUUUCUCUCCUCUGUUCCUCUGUAAUAAAAAACAAGAGCCAGCUUUUACAAAAGCAUCCAACGUCAGACUAUCAUGGUGGCGGAAUCAUGUGACGGAAAGACGGUGUGUCUGUGGUGUGGACGGAGAGGAAAGGAAACGGCUGGGGCGAUUCCUCAGGCUGAAGAAGAUGACGGCAUGAGGCACUCCAGCGACGAGUAUAGGGUUUUUCUCGGAACCCUAAGAAUGUUGACGGCGAUAGUUCCAAAAGAUGAAUAAAAGGGGUCCGAUGAGUAUUCUGGCCGCAAGCAAACCAGGGUUCAGGUGACGGUGGAUGGCGACCUCAGGUAUAAGUUAAGGCUGCAUCACUUAAUGAAUAGAGACUUCAUUCUGGCGAUGGCAGUUUGAAAUUGAACCAAUGACGUCGUCUCCUCCUUACACUGCCGCUGCUUCCUCCUCCUUCUCCAACACGCAGCCGAUGGUGUUUCUUUUGUUGAGAAGUGUGAUGGAGAUAAAAAUUAGGAUUCCGCGAUGUCUUCUGGUAAAGUUCCAACCAAACUCAGGUAAGCUUCGAUUCUAUUGCAUGUUGUCGUAUUGAUUCCGCGAUUGUCUGUCCAGAAACUUCUGAGAACCUUUGUUACAUGAGACCGUGAAUGGUGUUUGGUUUAUCAAGGUAUGCAUUAGUCUCUCAUUCUGUUCCAUGUAUUUUCGUGGUUGUUUUAAUUUGAAAUUGAGGUAGUUCAUUUAGUAUUCUUGGUCAGGAUUUCGGUUUUCCUUUGGUAUGUUGUUAAAUUUGUUUUUGGCUAAGGUUUUAGGGUUUUUUACAGGUUUUGUUCUACUGUAGGACAUGUUGAAGGUAAGUGUGCUCUUAAUUUGUUUUCUCCAUUUUUAGUUUGUUUUAAGAAUUGUUAUCAUUUUUUGUUUUGCUUACUGCAUUAGUUCAUUUUUGGAUAUCAAGUUGUUGGUUAUAUUUAUUUUUUUAAGAUAAGAGUAUUUUUUCAUCUGUUAAUGUCUAAUGAUAUUUGUAUUUCUUAUUUUCAGGUUUCUGUGUUGAUGUUGCUGGGUUUGCUCUCAGUGUUGAUUCGGUAACUUGAUGGUCUACUUUGCUUUUUUGCUUUGUGUAAGCAAGGACAAAGCCAAAAGAAUAGAAGUUUUGAGACAAGUCUUCCAUUUGCUUCUUUGGAGGUGUAGUUUCUGAGGAAAAAUAUCUGAUACUUCACUUAAAUCAAGUUUGACUAAAACUGGCAUCAACGAUGAGCAAAGAGCUACAUUAUGGAAAAGAUGAAGUUGAGGGAGAGGGGAACGGGAUACCAGUUGCUGGACACAGUCAAAUGUUAAUAACAUCAGGUAUAAUACUCUAUUUUUUAAAAGUUGAAAAAGCAAAAUAAAAAUGAAUUAAGUGAGAGUACCUAAACCGGCUAAUUUGGGCAAAAAGGAAAAUGUGAAUAUGGGAGCAUUUGGAUCAACUCAAAUUGACAAUGGUUAAUUUUUUUCAAUUCAAACUAGACAACGGGUCAAUUUGUGUCUACCCUUCCUAAAUUUAAAAUAUAUAAAAAGAACAUUUUGCUGAGGUAGCAAUGAGAAGGGUCACGCUAUUUUUUUAACCAAUUGUAUAUUUUCUAGAUUGAGUUGGUUAGUACAUUAACAAAACAUAAGGGCUAUAUUCUCUUGGAAAUGGAAGAAGAAAGAAGAUUAUAUUUUGAGUAGCGAAACUGGAGAAUGGAAGCAACAAUAUAAAUUUCAUUCCAUAUUAAAUAUAGUAAUUUAUAAAUGGGUUUUCCACUUCUUUUAUAUUAAUUAGUAACAUAUGAUUUUAACAAUGUCAUCAUUGUGGAACCUGCUCUUGAUGUUGAUUGGCACAACAAUGUCUCAUUUGCAACGUGUUCAAUUGAUAACGUGAUUUAUGUUUGUAAAGCUGGAGAUUAUAGACCUGUAAAAGCUCAGGGUUAAGUUUAUUGCUGGUGUACCAAAGAAUGUUAAGCUAGAGAAUAUUCGCAGGUGGUUAUCAUGUUUGUGGGUUAAUUGAAGGCAUUGACUAGAACGUUUUAUGUUUGGGGACGAGUUGGGAGUCCCAAGAGGAACUUACCAUGGCAUUGGCUCGCAAGGGCCAUGUCAACGUUCUCUUCGCCCCACUCAAACUGCACCACAUUCGAGUGCUUUUCAAACCGCUCCUACAGCAACAAGAAAACUCAAAGACUUUUGUUAUUAUAGCUGCCUUGAUUUAGAUGAACUAAAGAUUUGAAGAGCGACUUUUCAGCUGCAGUGGAUUGGAGAUAGCUACAGUGAACUGGAGAUAGCUACAGGGGGUUUAUAGAAGAUUAUUCACAAGUAGGAAAAAGGUAGUUUGUCAAUAUGAUUGCAAAGAGGUGGGUUUACAGAAGAUGAAUCACAAGUAAAAGAUUAAUCACAAUUAGGAAGGUAGUUUGUUAAUAUGAUUGCAAAGAUGCAAUGAUUAUGAUAGAAACCCGAGUCCAAUGUUAGUUAAAAAAUAAUUUAGGUUAUGAGUUGUAAUGUAAUGAUUCGGUUUAGCGCAAUUGCGUUAUGAGUUUACGUACAUGUUAUCACA